ensembl:miRNA
UAUUAGGUUGGUGCAAAAGUAAUUGGUAUUUUUGCCAUUAUUUUUAAUAGCAAAAACUGCAAUUACUUUUGCAUCCACCUAAUAUUUA